ACGAGCAACAAGAUAAUGUCAAUAACGAUAUAAUAUCAUAGGCAUCAUAAGCACAAAAGCGUCAGAAUUCUCACAAACAUUUACAAAGUGGACAUAGCUAAAUAUUCACAAAGCUUCAAAUUAUUUAGAGUAUCGCAGCAAAACGUGAACAGACUAUAUGUAUGAAGACAUAUAGCUAGGAGUAAAUUUCUUGACUGACUCUAUAAUAAGCUUCCAAAUCAUAAAGCUACCGUAGGAAAUGGAAAUACGGUACACGGUAAACAUCAAAAAUAAAAUCCUCACCAGCACCAGCCCUUUCCUCCAUCCUCGCUUAUCCUGCACAUUUAGAAAUACAUGCAGGGCUGAGUACAGAGUACUCAGUGAACAUGAGCCGAAAAUAAAUGAAAGCAUGCUCUUAGAGCUAUAUGUUGAACUUGCCCAUUUAAUGUGCAAACACAGGAGAUAUUUAGUUUUUAAAGAACCUGUGCAUGCACAAUCAAUAUAAACGUCAAAAUUAAUCAAUAGUAAUAUGAGUCUGCAGACAAAUAGUAUGUAUGUACCUUAAUACGGCAAAACAAUAAUAAACAUCGGGUGAAGAGAAGUAGGCCUUUUUCUCAACACCAUGACCGGCCAACUAAAAGACAGCUCACGGUCAUCAUCCGUGUACACAUUAACACAUACUGAUAUGUAGGGCCGAUAUCGUAUCAUCAUCAUCACAAUUAUCAUUUGCCGAGGUAACAUACAACAUCAUAAAAGCAUGGCAAGUCAACAACAUUAAUCAAAUCUUUAACUCGAUUAAUCAUACUUAUAAGUAUCAUACCAUUUUAGAAAGUAUGGCAAGUCAACAACAUUACUUCCCUCGAUACUUGAUGUAGCUAACUCUCGUCUUGUGCUCGUUUCUUCAAAUACCAUAGUCGAAAUAGGUGGUCCAUGUGAUAAUAUAAAAUAAGUCAGAAGACUUCCUCGCUAACCAUAUUACUCUUAUCUUAAUGUUAUCAUAACGUUUCUCAUCACUUCACUCCAACUAUAACAUUCUCAUAACAACUAGACUUCUUAAGUAAACACCAAUCUUAUUAACAACUUAUCACUCAUAUAGAACUAGACUACAUCAGCACACAAACACAUAGAUAAUUAAACACAUAGAUAAGUACACACAAUGCAUUAUCAAUCCUAAAUUAGCUCAUAGAAUAAUUAAUCAAGUUCAAUAGCACCUUAGCAAACACAUUUAAUUUUUUUUUUUUGUAAAAACGAAAAAAAAAUAUUUUUUUUAGUUGGGGAAAAAUUCCCAAAAAUUCAAUAUAGAAAGCUAAGGACAUAUAAUAGCACAUUCUUAAUCAAUUUACUAAAAAUAAUUUUCAUUAAAAAGAAAUUCCAAUUUAUGUCAUUUUUAACAAACUAACCUUAAAGUUUCUUCAUCGAAAAAUUCUCAAAAAUUCAAAUUAAGCUCACAUAAUACACAAUAACAUAAAUACGUGAUCAUAUAACACAAGAAAAAUCAAACAUCGACUUCCCAUUAUACUCAUCACAUUCGGCCAACAUAUAGGUUUUUAGGGGAUGAUUCAUUCCGUCUCAUAUCGCAUAUAUAAGCUCAAUUCAUCAUCAAUAAGCCACAUAUAGACAUGCUCAACUCAUAAUUCAUCUUAUAUACACAAGAUCUCAAGUAUGCACGCAAACUAAACUCGAAAAAUUUUCACAACUCAUUAUUAAUAAACAAUUUAAUCAUGCUUUCCUUUCCUAGUAAUCUAACUAACACAUAAACAUCAUCAAUUCAAGUAUUUAUCUCAUUAAUCAAAAGUUCCCAAUUAUUAGUAAACUAAACUUAACCAAUUUUAGGCUUUCUCAAUAAUUAACCAAAUUGAUCCCUAAUUAUCAUUUCUAUCAUGCUUAAUAUCAAUUAACCUUAGCCAAUUUAAUCAAUUAAGACAUAGAUCAUAAAGUCCCAAUUUUUAACAAACUAAGCUUUUUGAAAAUUAGUAAACAUGCAUAAUUCAGAAAUCAAACCAUAGAUCUAUCAAAUUGAAUCACUUAAUUGCAUAAAUAAACAAUCAAUUAGUAAAUUAAACCAUAGAAUCAAUUUUGCCCAAAUUACAUCAAACUAACUCAUAUCAAAAAUCACUAAUCAAUCUCAAUCAUCAAUUCAAUCCAUCAAAUAUCAUAUUAGCAACCUCAAUAACAUAUAUUCAUCUUCAAUUCAUCAAUCCAGCCUCAAAUCCAAAACUUCCCAAAUUUACACAAACUAAACUAUUUCAAAUCUCAUAUCUCUUUUUAAAUCCAUUAUCUACACAUGGAAAUAGACUCAAUAGGAUCCCAAUAACAUUUAAAUAACCUCAAUUUAAGAAAAGAAAAUUAAUUUUUUUGAAGGGGUACAACCCUAAAUUUUGAAAAUUACAAGAAUUAAAUAGGAGAUGUUUUCUUGCUUGAUCUAUCCAUAUACACACAAAUAUAACUCAAAUAAAUCUAGAUCUAGGUAAAUUCAAUACUUACUCGAGGAUUAAAAAAAAAGCAAAAUCUUCCUUGAGCUUCAAAUCUUGAAACUUCUUUAAAACUUGUCUUGAUUCGAGGGAAAUGGAUAUUUAGAGCUUGAUUUAGGAUAGAUCUAGGUAUGUGAAUGAUUCUUGGAGCUUGGUAAUGACAUCAAUGGUUGUAGAGAGAGAAAAGAAAGUGAGAAGGAGAGAGGGAGAGAGAGAGAGAUCGAAAAUG
rnacentral:lncRNA from 1 species